CACGUGUCACGCCGUAGAUUUAUUAUUUGCAUCUUAUUUUUCUUAUAUUUCCAACUGUGGGUGCUGUCUACUUAGAUCUUAUCAAUUUCCUGAGUUCAUCUUUGGCUGACUUUGUGGUACUGAAAUAUAUCAGUGGUAAGUUGACCUGCUUACAACGACCAGCUCACGUUAAACAACGCUGUUCACGAAAAGUACUCGAUGGGUGAUCUCCCUUGGCUCUUGAGGUUGUGACCAACACCGGGGCUCGCGUAGCACGUGGGUGUCUCCUUAGGCAAGUAAGUAUUUGAAAUAAUCCUCUGCUGAUGCAGCAGGGAAUGGGUACCCGGUGGGUGAGAUGAUAAUGGGACUAUUUUAGCAUGUCACAUGGCACAUGGCACAGGCAGAGAAUCACAAAUCGUGUGUACACUACGUCAUUCAAGGGGGACUCUUAUUAUUGUUAUAAUCGUCAUCAUUAUUAUUGUGUGUUGCAGCCUCCCGACUAAGGCAGGGCGACCGCGAGUACUGGACUGAGUGGUACGACGUGGACGACCCAGUGAGCGGCGACGGCGACUACGAAACGGUUCAAUCCAUCACCAGGGCUCUGAGACGGAAUAUCUGCCCAUCAACUCACACCAUCACCAGAGCUGACUGCGAUGUCGACAACGGUGACGUCGACGACAUCGUGAGGGAAGACAGUCUGGCAUUGCCCUGCUCCACUGCGGGUCUAGCCUGCAGGAAUAGUGACCAGACUUCCGGAAUAUGCAAUAACUACAGAAUAAGAUUCUUCUGUCAACCACUAAACAGGGUCCACACGGAAGGAGACACGACACAAGACGAGGACCAGGAAGGGAAUGGUACAAGACGUGUCCUCCGAUUUGACAUGCGCAUUUACAUCGUCCUCGCGGCUAUUCCGGUCGUCAUCUUCCUGUUCCGUAUUUGCUGGUCGUUCACCUUCGAGAAGCGACGUCGCCGGAACAGACGCUCUACGCGUGCGCGACGUCCAGCUCAAGACGAGGAGGCUGUUCAUCCGGAAGUGUUUCUUCCUCC